rnacentral:rRNA from 1 species
UUGGAGGGCAAGUCUGGUGCCAGCAGCCGCGGUAAUUCCAGCUCCAAUAGCGUAUAUUAAAGUUGUUGCAGUUAAAAAGCUCGUAGUUGAAUUUCGGGGUUAGUAAGUUGGUCAUGCCUCCGGUAUGCACUGGCUUUACUGAUUCCUCCUUCUUGAUGAACUGUAAUGUCAUUAAUUUGGUGUUGCAGGGAAUCAGGACUGUUACUUUGAAAAAAUUAGAGUGUUUAAAGCAGGCAUACGCUUGAAUACAUUAGCAUGGAAUAAUGAAAUAGGACGUUUGAUCCUAUUUUGUUGGUUUCUAGGAUUGACGUAAUGAUUAAUAGGGAUGGUUGGGGGCAUUAGUAUUCAAUUGUCAGAGGUGAAAUUCUUGGAUUUAUUGAAGACUAACUACUGCGAAAGCAUUUGCCAAGGAUGUUUUCAUUAAUCAAGAACGAAAGUUAGGGGAUCGAAGACGAUCAGAUACCGUCGUAGUCUUAACCAUAAACUAUGCCGACUAGGGAUCGGAUGAUGUUAUUUUUAAUGACUCAUUCGGCACCUUACGGGAAAC